GGAAUUCUGUCGUCUGGGAACGGCUGGUUUCGCGGUCAGACGCCGAGGGCCCUCGAAGUCCCUAGCAACGGCUGCGGAGAGAGAUGCUUCUACAAAUCUAUUAUGGAACAAAGGGAAGAAUAAAACCAACCAAAAGUCAGUUACCUGGGCCUGGAUCAUCUUCUUCUGUUCUUGGAAGACAGCAUUCAACUGGGAUGGUCUGUCUUUGUAUCUUCUGGCCUUCUCUUCAGAAGUCUCAGUCUUCAAUCAAGUGUGCCCCUAGAAAUGGUGAACCCCAAAUCCACUUCCUUCCUCUUCAGGUUAUGUUUUUUGCUCCUGAGGAGUCAUAACCUGUGGGUUGAAG
rnacentral:lncRNA from 1 species